rnacentral:rRNA from 1 species
GAUGAACGCUGGCGGCGUGCUUAACACAUGCAAGUCGAACGGAACUACUCCAAUGAGAGUCUUCGGAAAGGAUUUGGUUUAGUUUAGUGGCGGACGGGUGAGUAACGCGUGGGUAACCUGCCCUAUACAGGGGGAUAACAGUUGGAAACGACUGUUAAUACCGCAUAAGCGCUCAGGAGCGCAUGCUCCGGUGUGAAAAACUCCGGUGGUAUAGGAUGGACCCGCGUCUGAUUAGCUGGUUGGCGGGGUAACGGCCCACCAAGGCGACGAUCAGUAGCCGGCCUGAGAGGAUGAACAGCCACAUUGGGACUGAGACACGGCCCAAACUCCUACGGGAGGCAGCAGUGGGGAAUAUUGCACAAUGGGGGAAACCCUGAUGCAGCGACGCCGCGUGAGCGAAGAAGUAUCUCGGUAUGUAAAGCUCUAUCAGCAGGGAAGAAAAUGACGGUACCUGACUAAGAAGCCCCGGCUAACUACGUG